UUGACGGGACCGCACAAGCGGUGGAUGAUGUGGUUAAUUCGAUGCAACGCGAAAACCUUACCACCUUUGACAUGUACGGAAUCCUUUAGAGAUAGAGGAGUGCUCGAAAGAGAGCCGUAACACAGGUGCUGCAUGGCUGUCGUCAGCUCGUGUCGUGAGAUGUUGGGUUAAGUCCCGCAACGAGCGCAACCCUUGUCAUUAGUUGCUACAUUCAGUUGGGCACUCUAAUGAGACUGCCGGUGACAAACCGGAGGAAGGUGGGGAUGACGUCAAGUCCUCAUGGCCCUUAUAGGUGGGGCUACACACGUCAUACAAUGGAUGGUACAAAGGGUCGCCAACCCGCGAGGGGGAGCCAAUCCCAUAAAGCCAUUCGUAGUCCGGAUCGCAGUCUGCAACUCGACUGCGUGAAGUCGGAAUCGCUAGUAAUCGCGGAUCAGCACGCCGCGGUAAAUACGUUCCCGGGCCUU
rnacentral:rRNA from 1 species